rnacentral:lncRNA from 1 species
UUCUUGUGAUCUUGAAAAUUGCAGACUGCAAAUAUCCAAUGAACUCAUAAACAUUUGCACUUCUCAAAAGAUUUUCUCUCAUCACAAAUUUGCAUCCCACAAACCAACUUCUUACAUGACAGAGACAACACUCACAUCCUAACUAGAACUAAAACUAACACAAAUAGAAUUGCAAAAAACAGCAGCACAACUAUCUUCACAAGAGCAACCAAAUCUGAAACACUUCCUGACAGUGAUUUUAACAGCACUGUCAUCUUCACCAUCUCUUCAGUGCAGACUUGUUCCACUUCCAUCUUGUUCUUCCCUUUCUUUGUCAUCUCUACUUCCUUACUGCCGACAGAUUCACUUAUGAGAUGUCCUUGCUACUUUAGAUAUUGAAUGUAACUCUUUUCCCAAUGCCAAAACUUGCAAGGGCUUUUCGGACCUAUUUCACAAAAUGAAGAACAAAAUUGAGAAAACAAUUCCGAAGGGGAUCAGAGAUUCAAAACAACACGCAAGGAUUCAUCUCUUACUAACCUUAUGAUUCAUGCACUUGUAAAAUGUCCACCCAAGAUGCUUGUCUGUGCCAGACUCAAACCGCCUGAUUUGACGGAUCUUACAAUCAGGAGCAGUGGAUCUAAGGGAGCCAGCCCGCAGCGACCAUGACAUUACUUGAUGAGCUACCCAUGCCGGACAUGGCGGCCCU